rnacentral:rRNA from 1 species
AUGAGUGCAUUGGAGCAGACGAUCCGGAAAUAUGCCGAAGAGCCUACCAAGAGUGUGAUCAGACCAGAGCUUGGGCUAACUUUUGAUUCUCUUGGUGAGGCAUAUGACUUCUAUAACUUGUACUCGUGGGAGAUUGGGUUUGGAAUUCGGUACGGCAACAGCAGGAUAAAUGCAGAAAGGUCUAAAUCAAUGCAAGAGAUAGUUUGUGGCUGCUCGGGGAAGCCUGCGGCUGAGAACAGCAGAUCGUGCAGAUGCGAGUGCCCCGCAUUAGUACGUCUUUUGCGAGCAUCGGACAACAGUUGGUAUAUCACGGAACACCGUGAGGGGCACAACCAUUCCAUGUCACUUGCACUGGGAGAAAAGGUUCACUGGCCGUCACACAAACAUAUCGAUGUUUACACUAAAGAUUUGAUCAAGCAGCUUAGGGAGAACAAUGUGAACCUUGGGAAGGUCUACAACAUCAUAGGGAGUUUUUUUGGGUCUGUGGAUAAGGUGCCGUUCACAAAGAGGACACUGAGGAACAUAUGUGGUAAUAUAAAUCGUGAGCAAGCUGAUGACGAUGUGAGAAAAACCUUGGAGGUUUUUGCAGACAUAGUGGCUGGUGACCCAGGGUUCACAUACCGGGUGCUAGCCGACAGUAACAGCAGGGUGAAGAACCUGAUGUGGACAGAUGGAAGAAGCCGAAUGCAGUAUCAGUUCUUUGGCGAUGUGAUAACAUUCGACACGACAUACAGAACGAACUUAUAUGACAUGCCGUUUGGUCUCUUCAUAGGGGUCAACAAUCAUUUUCAAAGCAUUAUCCUGGCAGGGGUGCUGAUGAGAGAUGAGCAAGUUGAAAGUUUUGAGUGGGUUUUUGCUGAGUUCGUAAGGAUGAUGGGAGGGCCUAACAGGUUGAAUGCAAAACUCCAUCAACUGUUAAUCGAAGAUGCAGUCUAUCAAAACAAAGCUAUGGAAGUGGCGAUCAAUAAGGUGUACCCAGGUUGUGUGCAUAGAUGGUGCAAAUGGCACAUUCUGAAGAAAGCAAAAGAAAGCUUGGGACCACUAUACACGAAGAAAAACGACUUUCAGUCAGAGUUCCACAAGGUUGUCAAUCAUAUGCUAACCAAGGAUGAAUUUGAGGCAGCUUGGAACAUGCUGCUUGAUAAAUACAAUCUGAGGAAGCAUACUUGCAUGACUCAAAUCUAUGAAAUAAGAUCAAAAUGGGCAAAACCAUAUUUCAAAGGGGUGUUCUGUGCCAGAAUGACAAGCACGCAUUGCAGUGAGAGUGGGAACCACAUGUUGAAGUCCUACAUCCCUCGUGCAAGCCCGAUGCACGUAUUUGUGAGGCAGUACAUGAGGCUUCAGUUUGACCAAGAGCGAGAGGAAAGCUACGAGGAAAAGAGGACCAUGACUGGAGGCCUUGUCCGGAGAACAAAUUUGGCUAUAGAAAGACAUGCCAGCAACAUAUAUACGAGGGCUAUGUUUGAGGAGUUCGGCCGUCUACUAAUCGAGGGGACAUCAUACAAUGUGACCGAAGUUGAGAAGAUGAGGAAGUAUGUCACAACACACAACAACGCUGCAAACAGAGAGAAAUGGCGCAAGGUGGUUUAUGAGGUGGUCAUAAACGAGGAUGGAUCAGAAUUUACUUGUGAGUGCGGACAAUUUGAGCACACGGGAAUGCUGUGCUGCCAUGUACUUCGGGUGAUGGAUGUACUCCACUUGGAGGAGAUCCCCCAAAAACACAUACUGAAACGGUGGACAAAGGAUGCAAGAGACAUGCUGCCUGGGCACCUAGCUCAUUACCAAAAGGAUAACGCGGUAAACAUGUCUUUCACUUGCAGGCACUCGACGUUGUAUGCGAAAGCCAUGGAAGUAGCACGAUUGGGCGAUGCAAGUGCUGAAGCGUUCCAGCACAUGUUCGCUGGUCUGAAAGUGUUAGUUGAGAGUGGGGCUGCUUUUGCAGGAAAAAAAGAUGGCUUGGGCUUUGAGGACCUUGUUAGAAAUUUGCCUGGUGGAAGGUUGCCGGGCAAUGGGGAGAUUGAAUUUGUGGUCAAUGACGGCACUUGCCAUGAGGAGAGUGCAGGGCGGUCCGCAAGCAUCAAUGGUCUGCUUUUCCUUUGUGCUCCAGACAAGCAAAGGGGCAUAGGUCAUCCGACAAACAGCAGAGAGAAAGCUCCAUAUGGGUGUCUGAGCAAGCGGACGCGGCUCUGUAGCAUUUGUCGUCGUGAAGGCCACAAGCGAAGCACCUGCCCAGACAGGGGGGAUGCCCCGAAGAAACCACGCAAACCUGGCAAAUGCAAGAACUGUGGCAUUGAGGGACACCGGAGGAAUACAUGCACACGGCCGCUUGGUGUCGCCGAGAAGAAAUAG